UACGGGGGGGGCAAGCGUUGUUCGGAAUUACUGGGCGUAAAGGGCGCGUAGGCGGCCCUCUAAGUCAGACGUGAAAUCCCUCGGCUCAACCGGGGAACUGCGUCUGAUACUGGAGGGCUUGAAUCCGGGAGAGGGAUGUGGAAUUCCAGGUGUAGCGGUGGAAUGCGUAGAUAUCUGGAGGAACACCGGUGGCGAAGGCGGCAUCCUGGACCGGUAUUGACGCUGAGGCGCGAAAGCUAGGGGAGCAAACGGG
rnacentral:rRNA from 1 species